UGGUAAACAUCAUCUCAAGCUGACAGCCCUGGAGAACUUAGCCAGAAUGUGACAGCCAUCACAGACCCGCAUCCACACAUGAAAAGGCUUUUGUGUUGUGAAGCCCCUCUACUGAGACAGAAGAGGACAUGUUGUUCUCAGGGGCUGAUAUGAACCUGUGAACAUCUGCCAGCGAUACAGUGGGAGGAACAGACGUGAAAGAGAAACUGAGAUGAGGUUGAGUUCAUGUGAACCACCCAUGGCGCCGGACUGUUACGGCCAUCAGUAAAUCUACCAUCUCGCUGCUAUCAAAGCAUGGAAGGAGACUCAUCUCGCACUCAAAUAUCUCCGUGGGGAAUGGAAAGAUGGCAGAGAUGCAUGCCGAGGCUACUCCUUUUUCUCUGUGCCACAGAAAGAGAAAACAUUGGCACCGUUGACAGGGAAAAUGUGACAUUUUCUGCACUGUGAUACCUUACAUCUUCAAAUUGAUGCCUUGUCUGAAAUAGGCAGAAGGAGGCGUAAUGAAUGUGCUUCGGUGACAUAAAGACAUGCCGCCAGGACAUUGUGGGAUCGUAGCUCUGGAGCAUUCUGACUGAUUUGCUUUUUAAAGCACAGAGGGCCAGCUGUUUAUGUUAUUCAAAUUUAGAGGGGUUGGAGAAAAUGUGCGUCCGUCUAGUAGUAGCAGGGGAUAAUAGUUUGGAUGAAAGCAUUCGUUUCUUAAACCAUUCUUUAUACUAUUUUGGUCAAUCAAACUACAUUGAAAAGUAUUUUCCAUGACACUGCUUGAAUUUGCGAUUAUGUGCAGCUGAAAUUUGGACAAAAGAUUAAAAUGAUUGUCAUUUUCGUCAGCAUUCACGCUGUCAUCUCCACAUAUCAAAUGAAUCAUUUGUCCUUCAUGUGAAAUCUUUCACUGGUAGGAGACCAUCUUACUGUAUGUGUGGCAUUGAAAUAGACUCAUGGGAGGUCAUGGGAGUGUUGAGCUGACAAUCAAGGGACCGGCUGUCAUUCAUAGCCCCGUCACCAGCCGCGCCACUUUGAAUCAUCUGACGACCACAUGACGACAAUGACACAUUUCUGCUCUUUUUUUCUUUUUUGACAGGUAUGCAUCAGCUUGAUGGAUUGGCAUCACACAAAAUCUUUCAUCGAGACCCAAGUAUCCUCGGUAACUGUCCUCAUUGUGAGAAGAAAAGACGCACAACACGUCUUAAGGGCUGGAGUGCCGCCAGAGGAAACCACUCACUUCAUAAUGUCACAUACAGUGGCAAGAAUGACCCGGACUCCCUCCUGACCUGCCUCCGUUAAUGACCGUCAUACAUCAUGUCUUAAGUGCUGCAGCCCUCGUCGGCUGAUGUCGCCGGCCUGUCCAGCGCUCAUUUCCAUCUGACCCACCGAGUCCUGGACUGGGGCCACGGCAGGGAAAUUAAAAAUGCAUCAUGUGAUUCAUCUUCUGAAUGACUCCCGCCACAUGAGGGACCUGACCACUGGGGAUAAGUCAUCACAAAGGACCUUGGUGGCUAUCCUUUCUGGUCGAGGUGUCAGCCAGUGAUGCUCAGACUUUAUUAUGAUUUGAUCAGCAUGCCAAAAAAUACCCCAAAAACAUAUCAUUAUCAAACUAUACGUGCAAGUGCAGAAGGUCUGCAGUUCAGAUAAAGAUCAUUACUGACCAAAGAUGGUGUUGUUUU